rnacentral:rRNA from 1 species
UGAAUACGAGACGCUAAGGCGUCGAAGUAGUGUAUGUCAUACUUCCAAGAAAAGCUUGCACUGUCAUAGAUAAAAAACGCCUGUACCAUAACCGACACAGGUGGGUAGGUAGAGUAUACUAAGGGGCGCGAGAUAACUCUCUCUAAGGAACUCGGCAAAAUAACUCCGUAACUUCGGGAGAAGGAGUGCCUUAUUCGUAAGGUUGCAAUAACAAGAUCCAAGCAACUGUUUAUCAAAAACACAGGUCUCCGCUAAGUCGUAAGACGAUGUAUGGGGGCUGACGCCUGCCCAGUGCCAGAAGGUUAAAGAAGUUGGUUAGCAAUUGCGAAGCUGAUAACUGAAGCCCUGGUGAACGGCGGCCGUAACCAUAACGGUCCUAAGGUAGCGAAAUUCCUUGUCGGGUAAGUUCCGACCCGCACGAAAGGCGUAAUGAUUUGGAUACUGUCUCGGAGAGGGGCUCGGUGAAAUAGACUUGUCUGUGAAGAUGCGGACUACCUGCACCAGGACAGAAAGACCCUAUGAAGCUUUACUGUAACUUGAAAUUGAAAUUGGACUUUAUUCGCGCAGUAUAGGUGGGAGGCGUUGAUUAUAAUCUUGUGGGAUUAUUGGAGCCAUCAGUGAGAUACCACUCUUGUAAUGUUAGAUUUCUAACUUUGAAUCAUUAUCUGGUCAAAGAACAGUUUCAGGCGGGCAGUUUGACUGGGGCGGUCGCCUCCUAAACGGUAACGGAGGCGUACAAAGGUUUCCUCUGAACGGUUAGAAAUCGUAUCUAGAGUGUAAAGGCAUAAGGAAGCUUGACUGUGAGACCUACAAGUCGAGCAGGGACGAAAGUCGGUCUUAGUGAUCUGACGGUACUGAGUGGAAAGGCCGUCACUCAACGGAUAAAAGUUACUCUAAGGAUAACAGGCUGAUCUCCCCCAAGAGUUCACAUCGACGGGGAGGUUUGGCACCUCGAUGUCGGCUCAUCGCAUCCUGGGGCGGUAGUACGUCCCAAGGGUUGGGCUGUUCGCCCAUGAAAGCGGUACGCGAGCUGGGUUCAGAACGUCGUGAGACAGUUCGGUCCAUAUCCGGUGUAGGCGUUAGAAUAUUGAGAGGAGCCUUCUUUAGUACGAGAGGACCGAGAAGGACAUACCUCUGGUGUACCAGUUAUCGUGCCAACGGUAAACGCUGGGUAGCUAUGUAUGGAGUGGAUAACCGCUGAAAGCAUCUAAGUGGGAAGCCCACCUCAAGAUAAGUAUUCUC